rnacentral:rRNA from 1 species
UACGGAAGGCAGCAGUGGGGAAUCUUGCGCAAUGGGCGAAAGCCUGACGCAGCAACGCCGCGUGCGGGAAGAAGGCCCUCGGGUUGUAAACCGCUUUCAGAAGGAACGAAACUGACGGUACUUUCAGAAGAAGGUGCGGCCAACUACGUGCCAGCAGCCGCGGUGACACGUAGGCACCAAGCGUUGUCCGGGAUUUAUUGGGCGUAAAGAGCUCGUAGGCGGUUCGAUAAGUCGGGUGUGAAAACUUUGGGCUCAACCCAAAGCGUGCAUUCGAUACUGUUGUGACUAGAGUUCGGUAGGGGAGUGGGGAAUUCCUAGUGUAGCGGUGAAAUGCGCAGAUAUUAGGAGGAACACCGGUGGCGAAGGCGCCACUCUGGGCCGAAACUGACGCUGAGGAGCGAAAGCGUGGGUAGCAAACAGGGAUUAGAUACCCGU